UAUAUCAUUUUUAAUGUGAAAAAUAAUAUAAACAUUGAAGAGAGAGAGAGAGAGGCAAUAGGUCAGUGUCAAUAGCUGUAAGAAGCCAAAAUCCACCAUUAAAUAGCCGGUUCUAUGGCACAGUAGAUGAAGAGGCUGAAGAUAGAGUGAUGCAUAAACAUUUAUGUAGAUGGGGGAGAGGAUUGUGACAGUGAGAGUGAGUCACGAGGCUUACCUCUCUAAACCAUGCAUGUCUCGUGCUUUCCUCUCUGUCAAUCUCCAGAUGUGCAACUGACUCUUCUGGGGUUUCUUUAAAAGCCCUUAAUUUUUCCAACAAAUCAAGGCCAAACACUAUGGCUCUUCUAGGUUUUGGUUCAUCCAUGGAUCUCACUUGUCUGGUACAUGUUGGUUUGAGAGGUUGAAGCUGCCAGCAUGAUCUGGUCAUCUUGCAGCUUCAAUCACUCACUUCCAACAAUGAAAGAAAUUUUUGCAAAUAUGGCUUCUUUGGGGAUAUAUAUAUUCUAAUGGCUCAGAAUCUGCAAAUGCAUUCCAGGUACAUUUAACCUUUUUCUUAAGUGACUUUUCUGUGAUUUAGAACUAGAAACUCAUCCUAGUGAUUAUGCAUUUCUAUUUCUCAUUUAAAGUUCAUUAUUUUGUUCUCCAAUUGGGGGAUAUAUAUCCAAAUUUCAUGUGCAUACAUACAUACAUGACAUGAAGAUAUGCAUGCACACAUCUGCUUGUCCAAGUCAAAGUACUGCAUGAGUUUUCAACUCAGCCAGUACCAGUGGUUGUCUAUUGAUUGAUUUAUUUUAAUGAAACUAAUAAUAUCUCUAUUGAUAACUGCAAAGUGUUGAAAAUGAAAAUUUAUCUCAUCUAAUCUCUUGCUAGGCAUGUCUGUCUGUGCAUCUUGUUGUCCUGAUUUUUUGUUGGUAAUGUCUGGAAUCACAAUGUAAACAAAUUCCCAACACAUGGCAACAAGAUCACUAAUGAAUCAUAUUUGUAUUUUUGGCUCAGCAUGUUUUUAUUUUUUAUUUUUUUAUGAAUAUUUUGGCUCAUCAUGUUGAACAAAUUGGAUGCCUGCUCUAUUAUCUGUUUAUGGUCUUUCUAUAUCUAGCUAGUAGCUAGCUCAUUCAUCUGUGAUCUGUGCCUUUUCAUACAUCUUUUCAGAAAGGUACGACUCAUGGUUGUUUCCUUGUCAUGUUCUAUUACGUGUCCAGUUUGGUGUUCAUGAGUCAUGACCUAACUUUUUAAAUGGCCACUAACAAGACAACACAAUAUUAGUAAUCAUAUACUUGCAACUGAGUUAUCAAUUUGGAGUUUUUACUGUGCUUUAGUCAAUAAUAUUGUAUCUACCAGUGAAGUGAUCAAGACUUUUUAAUCAUAAUAAAAAAGAAAAAAGAAAAAAGAAAAAAAAGAAGACUUUUAUAUCUACAAUAUAUAUAAUUGUAAUGCUAUCUUGGUUUUCAUUUGCACAAUACAUAGGUAAUCGGUCGGUUUAAAAUUCAUUACUUUCACUGGACAUGCAAGAACCCGUUAAAAUAGAUGUUUUUUCAUCGGAAGUUUCAUUUCUCACGGUAGAAUAUAGAUAAAAUAAAGUAUUUUAUUUGUGUUAUUGAAUGUCAAUGUAAUGUUGAAGAGAGAAUUUCACCAUUAUCAUUACUUUAAUUUCAAUCUUCAUACUUCAUUUUAAAUCUUAAGUUUGUACUGCUCGGACAGAAUGGGAAGUAGGAGUAAUUAGUGGUAAUGAAAUCCAUGCUAUAUAACUGAUCAAAGGAAUACGAAGAAUUUGCUCUAAAUUAAUAUGGAAAUUAUUAGUAAAGAUUUGAUUGGAUUGAAAUUAGGAUUUUUUUUUUUUUUUUUUGAUUGGGAGAUAAUAUCUUGAGAAAAACCCAAUUGAAAAGUUAAUAUAACAUAUAAAAACACUACUUGAACAAAAGCCUUAAGCCUAUAUAGGUAGUAGUUAUUAUUCAAUAUAGGAUUUCACCACAUAACUAAUUACAAAAUUAUUUCUCAAAAAAAAGAAAAGAAAAGAAAAAAGAGCUAAUUACAAAACUCAUGCGUAAAUAUGUCACCAAAUCUCUCUGAUUGGUCAUCCCCUUGAACGGACACCUUCUUCUUACGAAUUCAAGUGUCAUGCAUCAUCACCAAUAAAGAGCACUUUACUCAACUAUGAAUGGAGCGAAUAUGAAAGUUUUCCUUGCACAACCAUAGGAAUCACCAACACACCCAAUAAAACCUUCACUCAACCAUGGUUGGAGUUGUUGACAUGAUAGUUUUCCUAAUUCUACUUCCACUAAUGAACACUUGCCUAAUUGAACCAUCAGUUCUAAUACCAUUUGUUGGGGGAGAUAAUGCCUUAGGGAGACUCCAAUUGAGAGGUUAGUAUAACAUAUAGGGAUAUCAUUUUAUCCAAAAGUAUAAGUCUAUGAGUUUGGACCCAGUUAUAUUAUAUUAACCAUUCAUUUCUGUUAUUAUUUUCUAAUGUGGGGUUUCACCACAUAACUAAUUAUAUCAUUCACACAUGAAUACAUUUUCCCUCUCUUUUUGAUCUAAUUGAAAAUGUGAUUGCAUGCAACAUUUUCCAAAUUUAGUGGAAAAGAAAUGAUCACUUUUAACUACUUUAGAUCUAGGAAAAUUAAGGAUAUAUAUUCUUAAUUUGUCUCCCUUGCUAACAAUCCUGAUUAUGCUUAUUCUCCUGAAUCUAUCACAUAGGCAUUUUCCAUUCCAAAAGGAUCCAAAGAAAUAAGGCGAUUUUAGAUUUUUAUUAUUAGAAAAGAUCAAAUAUAGCUAAGAUACCAUGUUAGAACAUGCCACACAUAACUUUGGUACUAUGAUUAGUAUAUAGGAAAAUAUGAAUCUUGUAUAAUGAACCUAGACUAGUAGACUAGAUCCUAGAUUCACGAUAGAUUAACCUAGAGUUAUAAUAUUUGUACUACAAGUAUAAUUAGAAUUAUUUUUCUUCUACUCUAAGUAAGAUUAGGUGUGUGUUUGGGUUAGGAUGAAAAAUGAAAAUAAUUUCACUAUUUAGCUUAUUUUUUCUACUAUUUAUAGGCUCCACUGUACUUUUUGGCACUAUUAAUGGGUUUCAUUGUACUAUUUUAAUUAACUUUUACCUUUAUCUACAGUACUUUAAGUAAUAAUUUUUCAGUUUUAACAAAAUAAGCGGUAUUCAAACACACCCUAGAUAUCAUAAAUUUAAACUAGUUCUAGAGGGAGCAGCUUCAGUAUAGUUCUAUCUCUUUAGCCCGAAGGAAUUAUACAAAAUAAUUAUGCCUUGAUUAAGAGUGGGCCUUGAUAUCUCGAACACUUCAUGUAAAAAAUUGGUCUUAGAACUAUUGUUCAUCUUGUGUAUUGUGGCCAUAGAUUGAUCCUUUGCUGGAAAUACAAGUUUGAGAUGUGAUGUCCACUGCAUGGAGUGUUCUAAGUUUUAACCCUUACAAAAAGAAACGGUGUUUAUUUAAUAAUAAAUAGGUAAUUACUGGUCAAGAUUUUUGUAGUUCAAUUAGUUGGUAUCAAGUUGGUAUCUCUUGAUAUUUCUAUAACAUCCAAGAUUCAAAUCUUUCCAUCCUCUUGUAACUUUAUUAUAAAAAAAAAAGAAAAAAAAAGGUAAUGGCUUUGACUUUUUAGUGCUUUUUUAUAGUUAAUUUUACAAUGCUAAUGAAGUACUUCUAUCGUUAUAGUUGCAUUAUUAAUUUUGAUUUCCAUCAUAUGGUAAUUAAAUUUUUUUAAUCGUUAUUGUCUUUUUAAAAUUUUGAAACUAAUAUAGAAGCUGAUUAUACGAAGGGAAAUUGGUUUAGUUUUGUAUGAAAAAGUCUUUCCAAACCCAAAUCUUCUAAGUAUUUUACAUACCCUAUUAAAUUUUAGAAAUUUCAUUCCAAAGUAGAUCUAUUUACAUUUGAAGAACACCAACUUGUCACAAACAGACUUGUUUAUCUUGGUAUGAGUUGGGUCAAACAAGUUUUAUUAGGUCAGGUUAACUUAAAAUUGGAUAAUAUAAUUCCAGCAUUAGUAAUAAUUCUUACACUAAACUAAAUAAUAUUUUAAGAGAAAAAAAAAGAGGGUACUCUUACUUUUGUUGUAAAAACUCUAGGUUUUUUUUUUUUUUUUUUUUUGGGGGUACACAAAAUUAAUAAAAAGAGUAUUUAAGUUGUUUAACUUUGUAACCGGGUCCAAAUCCUAGCAAGCUUAAAAUGUGAACCCAAACCUAAUACGAAGUCCAAAUCAUUUUUUUUUAACCCUAUAAUUACUACAGUUGACCACAAUAAUAAUAAUAAAAAAUAAAUAAAUAACCCACUAAAUUCGAUCCAUUGUCAUCCUUAACUAAUCAAAUUUGAACACAUAGAAAGUAUGUAUUUUUUGUUACAUACAUGACUUUAUGUGGACGUUAACAUAAGGAUCGCUUGGACAGAGCUUUCUCUACAUCAAAGCUAUGCCCAUCAUUGGCAAAUAUUAUCCAAGUGUUUUUUCUAAAAAUAAUUUUAUGGGCAAAGCUUUUUGAUUAUUCCACAUGGAUAACUGACCUAAUAUUUCCUUUCAAUUAAUUAAUAUGCCUGACUGGAUAGCUGUAAACAAAUCAUUAUUAUGAUUGCUACAUUGUUUUUUGCCAUCACCACACAUAUGCUUUAGCAAUCAGACAUGAUGAGGAAAGGUGAUUUGUAAUUACUUGCUAGGGUGGUGACACAACACUAUAUAUAUAUAUAUAUAUAUAAAAUUAGCAUGACCCUAACAUUAUAUAAUUCUAAAAAUGCUGUACAUAUAUUAAAGAUUAUAGCAAAUUCAGUUCAUCUAGAAUGACAUGAUGAUUAAUGAGGUGACUUAAUCUGCAUGUCAAAAUCAAACGAACCAUGCACGUGCGGUACUAGAAGCUAUGUAUAUUAUUGCAUGUGAAUUAAUUAAUUGUGGAGCUAGCCUUUAUAUUCAUGAAAUAAGAAAGGUUAGUUUGUAAAAGUCAUUUCCUACAUACAUACUGGAAUUGCUGUUAAAUUAUAAUUAGCAUCGUAGCUUUUCCUCCGCAGAAGCAUGGUAUAUAUCACUUUUUACUACGAGGAACAGCAUUCAUAUAUCAAACCCCCAAAAGAAAAAGAGUGCAUAACUUUAGGAUCAAUUCAAUGGUUGCUGCAAAUUGUGGACAAUUCUUCCAUAUCUUAGUCAUGUUGAUGUUUGCAACUAAAACAAGACACAUGAAUUUGUCGCUUAAGAGCUCUAUAUUCUGAGUAGAAAUAGAGAGAUUUUUUUUUUUUUUUUCUCACAUAUAUUUUACACACACACUUCUAUAUAUCCAGUGGUUAUAUUAUAUUACCCUAUUUAUAGAGUUUGACGUGAGUAAUUAUUAGAAGUAAUGGGUAGUUAUCCAAAGGAAAUUAACCAAGAGAAGAGAAACAUCUCACGGUUAUGGACAAGGUACAAUUCAUUCUCUUUGUAUUUAUUUGUUAUAUGAUUGUUUUUUAUAAAAAGAUUUUCUUUAAUUUUAUUUCUCUUUUAUGAUGCAAUACAUUCAAAACAUCAUUUACAUUUCCAAAAGAGUUCUCAAUACUUUUGACAGAUGAUUAUUAUUACUUUCCAAGUUAAUAUAAAAUGCUUAUGCGCGCAGGCCUAAACUUUGUAAAGCUUGCAUGGAUGGUUUCCCAGAUCUUUCAAAUUACUUUAUUUAUUUAUUUAUUUUUUUUUUUGAUAAAGCAAAUUACUUUAUUAAAUAAAGAGUUGGAGGGUUAAGUUCAGCCCAUGAUAGGAGAAGUUUUUUUGAGAUUAUUUUACUGGUUUUGAAAUCUACAAUGGUGCACUAAUUCUAUUAUUUUAUUGAUUCAAGUAGUUCUUAGCAAUGGCGAGCACAAAGUUAGAGAUGGAGCCCUUUAAUGAGAAAAAUAAUUUUAUUCUUUGGUAAACUACCACAUUGAAAUCCACAAAAUGCAACAUUUUUGUAGCCAUUUAUUACAUGCAGUCUUAUCCCUCACAUAAAUCAAAGUGAACAAUGUCAUUUAAAGCAAAAGUCAUCAAAUGAUGAUUGCACCCUUGUGAAUCAAGUAAAGAGGGUCAUUGUGGGUUGAAUCUAUCUUAUUGAUCCCAGAGUGAUAGGAUCAUUCCAUAGAACUUGAGAUCUUUCGUUUCAUUUACUUGGACUAAAAAAAAUUGUAAUCAUGAAAGAAGUAUAAUUUAUUUCGGAUGUAUGCUUCAUUCCACUCAUAAAUGGUGGGACCCUCCAAUUAUAAGUGGAAGGAAGUAUACACGACAUUUUCUCAUAGCCGUGAAGGAAUUUGGAGAGGAAAUUGCUCAGAGAGUACAAUUUGAGUAAGGAGCCUCAUCGGCCUAGCCCAACGUAUUAGGCCUUACUGCAACCAUCAGUCAUCUGAAGGCAUUCUGCUGAGCUUAGGGCCACUUAGCUGAUCAAGACUCCGAGGAUAGUUCUUUAGUCGGAACAACCGAGUAUGGUCAAAUUGCACCGCAAGACAAGUGAGGCCUUGAUCGAUCUAUGGCAAUAUACAUCAAUGGAACCUCAUAGGUCGUUGUUAUAUGCUUCAUAGUUAAUUCAAAAGAUUGCUAGUUAAAUAUGAAACAAAUAAUAAGAGAAAACACUAGAAAUAUUACAUAUUUCUAUUCAUUUAUAUUAUUUGUGAUCCUCAUUUUUUAUUAG